CUGCAAUAUUACUUGGUGGGGGAAAAUGUGUAAGAAGAGUGAUUGAAAUGAGUGUGCGGGUCACCUCCCUAUUUGAUAAAAAUCCUCACUCUCUCUUCAAAGUCUCAUAGGCCCUUUUCAUAUCUUUUAGAUCUGUUUUAGAGAUGAGUAUAUUUGUAUUUGAGUGACAGUAGGUAAUAUUGUGUGUGCUCUGACAGGGCUCUUUAGCACAUGCUAUUGUCUGUCACAUUGUCUCUAUUUCUUCUUGAGUGUUAGCGAGUGAUUAGUCUUUAGUGUUGCUAAGAGACCAGUUUAAAGCAUUCCACACAUAUUCCGUUUAUUCCUUCAUUCCAGGCUGUUAAAAUCAUUGACAUGUGAUUAGUGUCUCUUCUGGGGGUUGAGCUGAUUCAGUGUUUCUGUGUUUGGGUGUUCCCACAUGAAAGGAUUUAAAUAGUAAAGUUUAAAGUUUUUUUUUUUUUAAGUUUUUUUUUUUUUUUAUGUGCAUGCAUGUGUAUUUUUGUAUAUGUUAGCAGAAGUAUCUAAUGUUUUGGUUUUUAUACAAUUCAUAUUCAAGCCAUUAGAAGUAAGAAUUUAUUGAACUCUCAUUAGAGUAUUAGUAGACUGUCUGCUUAAUAUCUGUUAGCAAACUCUUUAUUUUGAUGGUCCCCCAACAGACAUUCUACUGACUAGAAGUAACUUUUCAACUACUACAUGUCAACUUACUAAUCCGAACCCUAACACAUAACCCUAAACCCUACUAACAGUCUACUUCAGUCGACUAAUACUGGAAUGAGAGUUGUUGUUACUUAUAAUUAGUAGAAUGUCAAAAGUGGACCAUCAAAAUAAAGUGUAACUGUCACAGAAACGGUCUCUGUGGCUCCCCCCAAUCGCCACCUGAGGGCACCCUCACCUGAAUACUGAUCAUUCCAUGGACUACAUUUCCCAUACCACGUACCCGGGCUGAUUACACACACACCUGUUCCAUAUCUUCCCCGGACUAUAAAUGACUCUCAUUCCCCAUCAUGCUUCGUGAAGUCUUGUUUUGCCUAGCUGACAUUUCUGAGCGUUUAUUCCCUGUUUGCGAUAUUCUGUGUAUGACCUUGGACUGCCUCGUUACCCUGUUAUCUGCCUGCCGCCUGCCUUGUGAUAUACCUGCCUGUCUACUGAUUACCCCUGUCUUGCCUGCCGCCUGUCCUGACCCAUUGCCUGGGACGAUGUCAUCACCAUGGGCCUCAGAGAUGGAAAAAUGACAGGGCUAUGCAGGGGGCCGAGAGUUCCUGGCUGUAAUGUGACCCUGCAGAUGCGUCAGUCAUGCCUGCUAUGAGAGGCCUCUACAUGGGCCUCAACCCCCUCCUCCAGGGUCUGAAUGGCCCGACCGCCACUGCCGGGGGUUUGGCCAGGAAGACUCAGGAUGACCGAACAACACUGAGCUCUGUUUUAGCCGGAUACACAGUGGCCAUGAACCAGCCCUGUCUAUCCCACGUUCCACCUGCUAGACAUACAUCACCAAGACCAUCUGUGGCAUUCUGCAACCUGCUUCCUCAGCUCCACACAAUAACAGUGGGUUUGUUAGUUUGUUUCCUCAGCUCAUGUGACUAUUACAAGCUAAAUAUUAAGUUCCAGCCAAGGUCAGUUGAAAAGACUCAAAGGAGAGGAAGGAAAAACAGAGAAAGAGGGGGUGAAUGAGAAACUAAAAGAAGGAAAAGGGCAAGGAGGGCAUGCAAAAUGCAACAAUGCAGGUGAUAAAAUGAUUACAGUAGAGAGGAGUGUUUUAGUAGUUAGGUCACUACUAUAUGAUUUGACUCUCUUUGUUUCAAUACAAACUUGGUCUGUACUGCCACUUUGUGGUCGUAGGUGGAAUAAUAUCGAAUAAUUAUUCAGUUUGGAAAUGAACUGUUUUGACUUUGCUUUGAAAUAUUAUUUUUUAACCCUCACACUGUAUUAAAAAAUGUAUACACCUUUUGUAUUCCUGGGUCAACUAAAACAACAGGUCAAAGUUUAGAAUGUUAUUACUGUGUUUACCCCCUUUUAUUAAUUAAUAAAUUGAGAAAUUCUUUGAAAUGUCAAAUUUUAAAACCACACCCAAAUGUACAUUUCAUGAAAGGAAGGGCAAGUUUAAUGUCUGACAGUCAAAUGCCUCAAAGGGCAUAUAUAUAUAUAUAUAUAUAUAUAUAUAUAUAUAUAUAUACAGUGCCUUGC